rnacentral:rRNA from 1 species
GACGAACGCUGGCGGCGCGCCUAACACAUGCAAGUCGAGCGAGAACCGGGCCUUCGGGCCCGGGGACAGCGGCGAACGGGUGAGUAACACGUGGGUAGCCUGCCCUCGGCACUGGGAUAGCCCGGGGAAACCCGGAUUAAUACCGGAUGGUCUCCGGAGCCUUCGGGCGCCGGAGAAAAGGUGGCUUCGGCAUCCGGCCGAGGAGGGGCCUGCGGCGGAUUAGCUUGUUGGUGGGGUAACGGCCUACCAAGGCGACGAUCUGUAGCUGGUCUGAGAGGACGAUCAGCCACACUGGGACUGAGACACGGCCCAGACUCCUACGGGAGGCAGCAGUAGGGAAUCUUCCGCAAUGGACGAAAGUCUGACGGAGCGACACCGCGUGGAGGACGAAGGCCUUCGGGUUGUAAACUCCUUUUCCAGGGGAAGAAUAAGGGUAAGAGGAAAUGCUUAUCCGAUGACGGUACUCUGGGAAUAAGCCACGGCUAACUCUGUGCCAGCAGCCGCGGUAAUAC